rnacentral:rRNA from 1 species
GAGCUCGAUGAGUAGGGCGGGACACGUGGUAUCCUGUCUGAAUAUGGGGGGACCAUCCUCCAAGGCUAAAUACUCCUGACUGACCGAUAGUGAACCAGUACCGUGAGGGAAAGGCGAAAAGAACCCCGGCGAGGGGAGUGAAAAAGAACCUGAAACCGUGUACGUACAAGCAGUGGGAGCCUCUUUAUGGGGUGACUGCGUACCUUUUGUAUAAUGGGUCAGCGACUUAUAUUCUGUAGCAAGGUUAACCGAAUAGGGGAGCCGAAGGGAAACCGAGUCUUAACUGGGCGUUAAGUUGCAGGGUAUAGACCCGAAACCCGGUGAUCUAGCCAUGGGCAGGUUGAAGGUUGGGUAACACUAACUGGAGGACCGAACCGACUAAUGUUGAAAAAUUAGCGGAUGACUUGUGGCUGGGGGUGAAAGGCCAAUCAAACCGGGAGAUAGCUGGUUCUCCCCGAAAGCUAUUUAGGUAGCGCCUCGUGAAUUCAUCUCCGGGGGUAGAGCACUGUUUCGGCAAGGGGGUCAUCCCGACUUACCAACCCGAUGCAAACUGCGAAUACCGGAGAAUGUUAUCACGGGAGACACACGGCGGGUGCUAACGUCCGUCGUGAAGAGGGAAACAACCCAGACCGCCAGCUAAGGUCCCAAAGUCAUGGUUAAGUGGGAAACGAUGUGGGAAGGCCCAGACAGCCAGGAUGUUGGCUUAGAAGCAGCCAUCAUUUAAAGAAAGCGUAAUAGCUCACUGGUCGAGUCGGCCUGCGCGGAAGAUGUAACGGGGCUAAACCAUGCACCGAAGCUGCGGCAGCGACGCUUAUGCGUUGUUGGGUA